GAAGUGCGAUAAGCAAUGCGAAUUGCAGAAUUCCGCGAAUCAUCAGAUCUUUGAACGCAAAUGGCGCCAGAGGGAUAUCCUUUUGGCAUGUCUGUUUCAGUGUCUGAGAGGUUUCACCUUUAUCUUAAUGUGAUUGACUCGCGGUUUGGGAUUUACCUCCCGAAUCACAGUCUCUCAUGAAAGAUGCGCGAGUGGAUCUUUCGGUCCAAUGAAGUGGUCACAUCACUCGUAUGUGAUUUCAUUGGAAGCACCGAAUUAUCCGCAAUGCUCGCGGUUCCUGUAUAAUGGCAUCUUCAUCGAUGUUGUUAUUACUAACUCUCUACACCCUGCAUCUGAGACAGGCAAGAUCACCCGCUGAACUUAA
rnacentral:misc_RNA from 1 species